CCUACGGGAGGCAGCAGUGGGGAAUAUUGGGCAAUGGGCGAAAGCCUGACCCAGCAAUGCCGCGUGAGGGAUGAAGGUCUUCGGAUUGUAAACCUCUGUCCUUGGUGACGAAGGAAGUGACGGUAGCCAAGGAGGAAGCCCCGGCUAACUACGUGCCAGCAGCCGCGGUAAU
rnacentral:rRNA from 1 species